rnacentral:lncRNA from 1 species
GGUGUGUAAAGGUUGUAGUUGGUAAACUUAAGAGAAAACCAACUGAAUUUAUGGAUAGUAGUCCGAUUAAAACUAUCCAGCUAUAAUCUUAAGGGAUUAUAGUGGAAUUUUUAAGAGUCUUGCUUGGAAAGUGGACAUAGGUGCUGGGUGUGCACCGAACCACUAUAAAAUUUCUUUUUUCUUUGUGUGGUGUUUACCUUCUUCAUAUUUGCCUUCACACAUAGCAUACGCUGCACCACCAAUAGUAAACUAGUUAAUUCAGCAUAUAGUUGUUUUAAGUUUUAAAAAUCCAAUUCAACCCCCCCUCUUAGGUUGUUUGGCUGGGCAACAAUUGGUAUUAGAGCAGGUGCUCCAAUAUUACUUAUUAACCUAACCAUCAAGAGGUAAAGUCCAUGACAAUCCAACUUGGAGGCUCACUUGCUGAGGGGCAAUCCACAAAUAGGCCACCACUUUUUUGUUAGAAAGCGGUGGUUUCGUAUGUGUAGUUUAAAAUUUUUCAUAAACUAUUUAUCUACAGCGAAAGUAAAUUAAAUUAAAAUAUUUUUAAUUUAAAAUAUGUACCAGAUCAGAUCUAAAAAACUACGCUUAGGAUCUUGAUAUGAAUAUGUCACCGUGAAUCUGCAAUCUAAAACAAAAACAAACCAUCAGUAAUAAAAAUCGAAGAUCUGAUCUCCAUACCUUUGAAUCCUACGGAUGUCCAGGAUUUCGAUCGUAGCUACGCAAGCACCUGACUUCUACUGGUAUCCACAUGGAGAUGCUUGAUUGGAGCACUAAGAUCACUGGUGUGCUAGCACCUUGCAGGCCUCCCUCCUUAUUUGGAUAUGGUCCUCCUUCUUCAACAUCUUAAAGAAGAUGAUGGCUGCACGAACUCUUUCGCGUAGAUCUAACAAGAUCAGAAUCGAACCACCAAAAAGAGAAGAAGAAUCUUUUUUUUUUCUUUUCUCUCUCUAAUUUCUCACUUAAAUCUGAUCUCAUCAGAUCAUCGGGAGUGGAGAUGGAGGAUGGAAGAAAGAGCAGGCAUUGGGAUUAGAGAAGGUUUGCGGUAGAAAAAGAUCACCUCCUUUUAUUAGCGCAUGCCUCACACCUUUCUCCAUAUUUUUGUUGCAAAAAAAUAGGUCUCAUCCCAUGCCACACCUAGUUCAAAUCCAAUUUUAAUCAGAUUCAAAUUCAAAUCUUGUCCAUAAGGAAAUCCACAGUCAAAAGGGGAGGCACAAAGAAUAAUCGGUGGCAAGAAGGAAUCCCAUUCCUUUCAAUACCGCAUGCCCACCUUAACAUUCCAUUUUUUUGUACAAAAAAAGAAUCCCACACCCAACUUCUAGAUAAGAAUGAGAUCCUAUUCCUUAACUAAAUCAAAUUCAAAAUGAAGGAUGUGUCAAAGGGGAGAGAGAAUCCUAGAUAAAAUGGGGUGCCAACUAUUGGCGCCCCUUCUCUUCUCACACACGCAAGAAAAAAGGGAUGCGCAUCUUCAUCCAUGCCCUAUCCCUUUCUACAUGAGAUUUGGAGA